UUGAACUAAUCCUUUGAUUUGAAUGAUUCAGUUAUUUAUUAAAACAGGGACUUGCUGCCACCUACUGGUAGUUUCUAUUUAUUUAUCCAUGACAGGCCUAAACCACCCAAGAUACCAGCACAAAAACACAAAUAAUAAUUAUUUGUUAUCAAUAAUACAAUAAUUAUCGACAAAAGUGUUCCCAAUGUUUCCACCAGCCGCCAGGAAGACGACAGCGUCUUGCUCUUUUCUUUUUUUCCCCUGAUGUUUUCAUAGACCAGAUACCUCCUUUUCCAUAUUUAUCAACGUUAUUUUCCAUAUUUAUUAAAAACUGGAGAAAAUAAAUAAAUAAAUAAAAGCUUAAUGAAGAUAUUCAAUAGCCUACAGAAAAUAUAAAUAAUUUGCAACAACACUGUAAAAAAGUAUAUCGCAGUUUAGUUUCAGUUAAUGUUUUUAAGUUGACUCAACUUUCAGUUCAUUAGUUUGUUCAUUCAACUUAAAAUUUUAAAUUUCACUGUCUCAACUAGUUAGUUAAGUUGACAAAACUAGCCAUUUGCCCCCUCAACUUUAAUAACGAUAUCACGUCACUUAUCGCGAGAUCACGUGAAGACUUGCAGAAAGAAGACGUUGGUCAGCCAUCUUGAUGAGCUUCUCCACAGAGCUUGAAUAUGUUUUCAAACCAACACUUUUGCACACAGGUUCUCAAGAGGAAUUCAUCAAGGACAAGUCUGUUGGCAUUAUAGUUGUUGGGUGACCAAAAUGAGCACCAUCAAUCUGCAGUGAUGUGGUCCCGGUAAUAGAAGAAGAAAUCUUGUUUAUCUGCAGUUGUAACAUCCAUCUCAUGAAUUGAGGUGACAUGGGCAUCUUGAUUGUGACUGAGGAGCCAAUGACGUUGCUAUCAUUUUGGAAGAGCGUCUUGUCGCCAUCAAUAUCUGUGACGUCCCGAAAGCAUUUGUGCUCCUGAUGGGUCGUCUUUACAUCAUUAACAAAACAUAGUACAGUUCUGAUGUUCUCAAAACUUUGCACAAACAUUGGUGGGAGUAACUGUUCUUCACGUGUUUACGGGCUACGAAACAUGCUACUCUGCAAAAAGUAGGCUUUUUGGUUGGUUUUUGCACUUUGUUCAACUCACAUUAUUUGCCAUGUUAUGGCAUCUCUUUUUAAAAUUUUGAAUGCACUUUGAUGCAUGUUCUGACUCUUAUAUUGAAAUGGAAAAUUUCAGAAUUACUCAUCUGUUCUUUUGAUUAAAUGUGCAUUAGUGAAAGGAAUGUAGAU